rnacentral:tRNA from 1 species
AGCGGAAUAGAGAAACCCGGAAUCUCGCAUGGCUCAUAACCAUGAAAUUGCUGGUUCAAAUCCGGCUUCCGCAACCA